rnacentral:tRNA from 1 species
GCUCAGUCGGUAGAGCAUGUGACUCUUGAUCUCAGGGUUGUGGGUUUGAGCCCCAC